rnacentral:rRNA from 1 species
CCUACGGGAGGCAGCAGUGAGGAAUAUUGGUCAAUGGGCGCAAGCCUGAACCAGCCAAGUCGCGUGAGGGAAGACGGCCCUACGGGUUGUAAACCUCUUUUGCCGGGGAGCAAGCCUGAGCACGUGUGCCCAGGCGGAGAGUACCCGGAGAAAAAGCAUCGGCUAACUCCGUGCCAGCAGCCGCGGUAAUACGGAGGAUGCGAGCGUUAUCCGGAUUUAUUGGGUUUAAAGGGAGCGUAGAUGGGUUGUUAAGUCAGUUGUGAAAGUUUGCGGCUCAACCGUAAAAUUGCAAUUGAUACUGGCAGUCUUGAGUACAGUUGAGGUAGGCGGAAUUCGUGGUGUAGCGGUGAAAUGCUUAGAUAUCACGAAGAACCCCGAUUGCGAAGGCAGCUUACUAAACUGUGACUGACAUUGAUGCUCGAAAGUGUGGGUAUCAAACAGGAUUAGAUACCCCUGUAGUC